rnacentral:lncRNA from 1 species
GUUAAUUUAACUUUUUUAAUAUCAAUCAUUAACAUUCAUCAAAUUAACAGAAUAAAGGAGAAGAACCAUUAGAUCAUUUCACUAGAUUCAGAAAAAGCAUUUGACAAAAUUCAACACCCAUUUAUGAUAUAAUAUCUUGAUAAACUAGUGAUAGAAGGGAACAUUCUCAAUCAAAUAAAGGAUAUCUAUAAAAACCGACAUCUAACAUCAUACUGAAGAGUGAAAGAUUUUCCUCCUAACAUUAGGAACAAGGAAAGGACUUCCACAGCCAACAUUGCUAACCAACAUUGUAGUGAAAGGCAAUAGAGCAAAGUAAAGAAAUAAAGACACACAAUGUGAAAGUAAUAACUAAAACUGUUUUAAUGACAUGAUGAUGUAUGCAGAAGCUCCCAAAGAAUCCACCAAAAAAGCUACUAGAAUUAACAAUUCAAAUCUGGCAUCAACCCAAAAGUCUAUCUACAAAUGAAUGGAAUUGUUAAAGAAAUUCUGGUAUAUUCAUAUCAGGGAGUACUACUCACUGUGGAGGCAAGAAUCUUCGAGGCCAUCUUAGAAUCCUGCCUAUCAUGUCAACGAUGUGGAUAAAUUUCAGAAACUGUGUGCUGAGUGGAAUAAGCCAAACUUAAAGAGAAUACAUAUAUGAUCCCACUUAUUUGACUCUCUCAGAAAGAUAACUGGGCUGUAUGGUAAGCAAAAGCAGAUCAACAGUUACCUGGAUUGGGAGGUGGAAGAUUGACCGGGAGGAGGCACAAGGAACUUCUUGGGGUGAGGAAAUUAUUAUGUACCUUCAUAUUGACAGUGUUUACAUAAGUCUAUAAAGCUGUUAGAACUCAUCAAACUAUACACUUAAAAUGUGUACGCUAUAUUUUAC